GCCCGAGUGGCGGAAUUGGUAGACGCGCACGACUCAAACUCGUGUUCCUCUGGAGUGCCGGUUCGACUCCGGCCUCGGGUACAA
rnacentral:tRNA from 1 species